UUGGAGGGCAAGUCUGGUGCCAGCAGCCGCGGUAAUUCCAGCUCCAAUAGCGUAUAUUAAAGUUGUUGCAGUUAAAAAGCUCGUAGUUGAAUUUCGGGGUCAGUAGGUUGGUCAUGCCACUGGUAUGUACUGGUCUCACUGAUUCCUCCUUCCUGAUGAGCCGUAAUGCCAUUAAUUUGGUGUUGCGAGGAAUCUGGACUGUUACUUUGAAAAAAUUAGAGUGUUUAAAGCAAGCUAACGCUUGAAUACAUUAGCAUGGAAUAAUGAAAUAGGACGUUCGAUCCUAUUUUGUUGGUUUCUAGGAUUGACGUAAUGAUUAAUAGGGAUAGUUGGGGGCAUUAGUAUUCAAUUGUCAGAGGUGAAAUUCUUGGAUUUAUUGAAGACUAACUGCUGCGAAAGCAUUUGCCAAGGAUGUUUUCAUUAAUCGAGAACGAAAGUUAGGGGAUCGAAGACGAUCAAAUACCGUCGUAGUCUUAACCAUAAACUAUGCCGACUAGGGAUCGGAUGAUGUUAAUUUUUUAAUGACUCAUUCGGCGCCUUACGGGAAACCAAAGUGUUUGGGUUC
rnacentral:rRNA from 1 species